GUCAUUUCCUGUCAAGAGGAAGGAAGGAGGCUGAGAUCCAGCCAGCCACCCACCCAGCCCGGCUUUAGGCUGUAGCCCAGGGCAGAGACAGGCUGGCUGAGCUGGCCAGCCUCCCGGUAGUGGCCCCCCUCUUUCCCUUCCUUCCUACUCCUAACCCCCUCCAAAAAUUUCUGGAACCACCUGUAAGCUUUGUUCUUUAAUACUUGGACAAAGCAACCUACGCUUGGUUCAGAAUGACACUUUGCUGGAGGUGGGAAUGAGGCUGUGCCCACUCCCUGCAGAGGGCCCUGCAACCUUGGGUAGGGUUCCUUUUCCCUCUCCCCCACCUCAGGGAAGCCAAGGAAGCACAGAGAGCUGGAGUCAUGCCGGGCCCCACCUCUUUCCUGCUGGGUGACCCAGAGCAGGUUACUGACCCUCUCUGGGCCGCAGUUUUUUCCUAAAGUGAGAAUAAAAAAAUGUCUGUCCUGAAAGGUGGUUGGCUGAGAGAAUACAAGGAGAGAGAGAGCGCUCCAGAUCUUGGUACUUGGGAGAGGACAGAGGUCUGGGGAGAUCACCACGAGAUGAACAAAGUGCUGGAGCUCGCUCUGAGGGAAGCCAGCUUCCAUGUUGAGAGCUGUCUUUGGAGAGGCCUAUGUGGCAGGGAACUAAGGACACCCUCAGCCAACAGCCAGAGAGGAACUGAGACUCUCGGUCCAGUAGCCCACAAGAAACUGAACCCUGCCAACAACCAUGUGAGUGAGCUUGGAAGUGGAUCCUACCCCAGUCAAGCCUUAAGAUGACACCAGGGCCUUGGCCAACAACUUGACUUGGUCUGUGAGGAGAACCUGAGCCAGAGGACCCUUCCAGGCUGUGGGACCCAAUCCACAGAAAGACAGUAGGGGCACCUGGGUGGCUCCGUCGGUUAAGCGUCUGACUCUUCAGCUCAGGUCAUGAUCUCAGGGUCAUGAGAUGGAGCACCACGUUGGGCUGGGUGUGGAGCCUGCUUGAGAGUCUCUCUCUCCCUCUCCACACUCCCCCCCCACCCCCCACCCCCGCUCAUGCACAUGCACUCUCUCUCAAAAAAAAAAAAAAAGAGGGAGACAAUAAAUAUCUGUUGUUUUAAGCUGCUAAGUUUUGGGGCCAUUUGUUACGUGGCGAUGACUAACAAAUACCCUCUCCUUAGCCUGCUGGCCCCAACCUCCCGCCACUCUAUCCCCUUACCCAGCUUUAUGUUUCUUUAUAGCACAGUUGUUACUUCUGCAUCUUUUCUGGCCCAGAGCCUGGCCCCAUGCAGAUGUUUAGUAAUUACUUGUGAAUGAGCAAACAGGGGAAGGCAUGCAAGAUGCCCAAAGGGACAAUGCCAUAGCUCAGAAGAGCCAGAAGUAGCCGGCUCAGGAGGGAGGAGGCUGGCUCACCCCAAUCCCAGCUGCCCUGGAGGUUACCAUCCUCUCUUAGCAGAGACUGGGAGUCCUGGUCUCCCACCUCUUCAGAAGGAUGCUGGUCCGGGCCCAGCAUUCAGGCCUCUUAUGGUCUCUGUAGGAGAAUGAGUCCCAGCUGCAUACCCCACUCCAGACCGUACCUUCUGGAUUUCCUCUGCUCUCUGGACUUCAGGCCUGUUUUUCUUUGUUUGGUAUGGAGAUUUGCUAAAUGCCUCACUUAGAGUGAUCUAAUUUUUAUGCCCUUGUCAGACUUUUCACAAAAAUAAUUUAAUAGAUAAGAAUCCUAUUCCAACCCAUGUGGCCCAAUUUUUGUUUGGAAAUGGUCCCCAUGUCCAUAAAAAGGAAAGGACCGCCAAAUCCAAUCCCCUACCAGCCCUAUCCCCACUGGAUCCCAGGCUGUUGGGAGCCAGGAGGCCAGGGAACCUUCCAGCAAAAACAUCGGGCCCGAGUCGGAACCUGGUGCCUGGGUCUGGCAAGGGCUGGCCGUAUGCCCAGCUAACUGAGCCAUUUCCUCCCAGACUGGGGCAAGUUUCCUGCCCAGAGGGAACUGAACACACUCCCAGGCGGAGUGGGGGGGCUGGGUCCUGGAUUGGGAGAAGGGGCAACCACAGGCAUUUCCCCCACCUCAGCUACUUUGGAGCUGAGAGGCCCUCCUGGGGGUAGAGCGUGGAGACCAAGGGAUCAGAGAUUGGGCUUGAGCUGUCAGUGGGUGGCCAUUUCUGAAGGAGCAGAAACCACCCUGUCCAGCCUUGGGGCCAGCCUGCCCCCGUGUCCCAGGUGUGCCCUGGGGUGGGGAAAAGAGAAGCCUACACCAGACUCUGUCUGCUUCCAGAAGAAGUAGGCUUUGGGUGAGCAUGGUGGCCUUUGCUGAGAAGCAGGGCUCGCCAGAACCUGGAAUCCUCCAAGAACCUUCUCGCCUCACCGCCUUCCUGGUGCGUCCUCGGUCACUCCCAGACAACCUGACCCUCGUAGCCCCCUGGAUACCCCCUAGCUAGGAGUCUUCUUUGCCCUGUGGGGUCCCUCCUUGGAAAGGGCCCUCAAUCCCCGUGGGCCCAGUGCCCAGGCCAGGAAAACAUGGCUGUGAUGGAACCUCAGGCUACUCUGCUCGCAAGGUGGCUGGAACCACAUUCCAGAACCUUCCAGGAAUGGACCUGCCCUAUUUUUUUAUAUGCACCUCUGUUGGUUUCCGUGGCCCCAGCUCUUCAACAAGAAGAAGGUAGCAGGAAGCACGCAAAGCACUUGAGCUUUGGGGGUCAGGCCACCCGGGCUCCAAUCCUGGCUUCGCCACUAACUAGCUCUGUGACCUUGAGCAAAUUAUAUAACCUCUCUGGGCUUCUCUGGGCUUUCUGAAUCUGUUAAAAAGGGAUAACAGUACCCAUCUCUUGGGGCUGAUGUCAGAAUGAAAAGAGAUCAUAAAAGUGCUUGGCACGUGGUAAGCAUCCCACACAUGGCCAUUUUUCUUCUGACUGGCUCAGAGAGUUACAGCGACCCACCCAAUGGCACACAGCAAGUAAGGAGAGGAGCUGGUACCCAACCUUUUCCCAGAUACUCUGUGGCCUCCCUGGGCUGGGCCCUGCAGGGGAGACAGGGCUGAACGAGGCUGAGAGAGCAAGGACCCUCAUGGUCUUAGACAGCCUAGGAUGGGGCGGGACACGGACACCGUCCACCCACAACUGCAAGUGGAUGCUAGAUCAUGAGUCCAUGCCACCGAAUCCCUGUUGCUUCCUCAGCCACCUCAAUAUU